rnacentral:misc_RNA from 1 species
AACCAUAGAAACCUGCGGAGUACCUGCGGAGGGAUCAUUACAGAGUUGCAAAACUCCCUAAACCUUUGUGAACGUUACCUAAACCGUUGCUUCGGCGGGCGGCCCGGGUCCUUCCCGGCGCCCCUCGGCCCUCGCGGGCGCCCGCCGGAGGUAAACCAAACUAUUGCAUUGUAUGGCCUCUCUGAGUCUUCUGUACUGAAUAAGUCAAAACUUUUAACAACGGAUCUCAGAUCGGAAGAG